AGAGUUUGAUCAUGGCUCAGAUUGAACGCUGGCGGCAGGCCUAACACAUGCAAGUCGAACGGUAACAGGAAGCAGCUUGCUGCUUUGCUGACGAGUGGCGGACGGGUGAGUAAUGUCUGGGAAACUGCCUGAUGGAGGGGGAUAACUACUGGAAACGGUGGCUAAUACCGCAUAACGUCGCAAGACCAAAGAGGGGGACCUUCGGGCCUCUUGCCAUCAGAUGUGCCCAGAUGGGAUUAGCUAGUUGGUGAGGUAACGGCUCACCAAGGCGACGAUCCCUAGCUGGUCUGAGAGGAUGACCAGCCACACUGGAACUGAGACACGGUCCAGACUCCUACGGGAGGCAGCAGUGGGGAAUAUUGCACAAUGGGCGCAAGCCUGAUGCAGCCAUGCCGCGUGUAUGAAGAAGGCCUUCGGGUUGUAAAGUACUUUCAGCGGGGAGGAAGGUGUUGUGGUUAAUAACCGCAGCAAUUGACGUUACCCGCAGAAGAAGCACCGGCUAACUCCGUGCCAGCAGCCGCGGUAAUACGGAGGGUGCAAGCGUUAAUCGGAAUUACUGGGCGUAAAGCGCACGCAGGCGGUCUGUCAAGUCGGAUGUGAAAUCCCCGGGCUCAACCUGGGAACUGCAUUCGAAACUGGCAGGCUUGAGUCUUGUAGAGGGGGGUAGAAUUCCAGGUGUAGCGGUGAAAUGCGUAGAGAUCUGGAGGAAUACCGGUGGCGAAGGCGGCCCCCUGGACAAAGACUGACGCUCAGGUGCGAAAGCGUGGGGAGCAAACAGGAUUAGAUACCCUGGUAGUCCACGCCGUAAACGAUGUCUACUUGGAGGUUGUGCCCUUGAGGCGUGGCUUCCGGAGCUAACGCGUUAAGUAGACCGCCUGGGGAGUACGGCCGCAAGGUUAAAACUCAAAUGAAUUGACGGGGGCCCGCACAAGCGGUGGAGCAUGUGGUUUAAUUCGAUGCAACGCGAAGAACCUUACCUGGUCUUGACAUCCACGGAAGUUUUCAGAGAUGAGAAUGUGCCUUCGGGAACCGUGAGACAGGUGCUGCAUGGCUGUCGUCAGCUCGUGUUGUGAAAUGUUGGGUUAAGUCCCGCAACGAGCGCAACCCUUAUCCUUUGUUGCCAGCGGUUAGGCCGGGAACUCAAAGGAGACUGCCAGUGAUAAACUGGAGGAAGGUGGGGAUGACGUCAAGUCAUCAUGGCCCUUACGACCAGGGCUACACACGUGCUACAAUGGCGCAUACAAAGAGAAGCGACCUCGCGAGAGCAAGCGGACCUCAUAAAGUGCGUCGUAGUCCGGAUUGGAGUCUGCAACUCGACUCCAUGAAGUCGGAAUCGCUAGUAAUCGUGGAUCAGAAUGCCACGGUGAAUACGUUCCCGGGCCUUGUACACACCGCCCGUCACACCAUGGGAGUGGGUUGCAAAAGAAGUAGGUAGCUUAACCUUCGGGAGGGCGCUUACCACUUUGUGAUUCAUGACUGGGGUGAAGUCGUAACAAGGUAACCGUAGGGGAACCUGCGGUUGGAUCACCU
rnacentral:rRNA from 2 species